rnacentral:lncRNA from 1 species
GACCUCAACAUAAAAAAGAGGAUGAACCUGGUCCGUCUAUUUGUACGCAUUUGCUUAACUCACUUCUAACCUUCCUAGACACUGCAAAGAACACAUAAUGAAAACUACCUGGUCAAGGCGGUACAGGGGAACGAGAAAGGGGUUUGAUAAGGAGUUUGGGUAUGUCCCGCUUACAUCGAGGUUGGAUUCGGGGCAACAUGGAUACGAGACUAUUGAUUGAAGUGAAGUUUGGAAUCAUUGUGGUUUUCUAUCUUCAGAGAUUACCAAAUUGGAGAAUCACCAAGGCCUUUCAGCGGUUUGACGCACCCCCCUAAGCUAGACGCUUUACUUACCUGACCUCAAAGAGAAUAGAAUGAGUCGCCCUAGCUCUUACCAAGAGUUUGGCUCCUUAGUUGCUAGGUU